rnacentral:lncRNA from 1 species
CUUGAUCAUAACAGGAGCUCAACCAAUAUGGUCCACAACUAAGCCUACUGUGCAAUCGGUUAUAAAUUAUUUGAAAUAUGAUUGGAUUAACUCCCAUGUUUUUUGUGAUGAAGUGACAAAGCCAUAAGGUUUGCCUUUUGAGUGUGGGACUAAAAGGAAAUGCCCAUGAUCAUGGUACUUUGAUUAAAGAAACCCUGGGUAA